rnacentral:rRNA from 1 species
AUGAACGCUAGCUACAGGCUUAACACAUGCAAGUCGAGGGGCAGCAUCAUCAAAGCUUGCUUUGAUGGAUGGCGACCGGCGCACGGGUGAGUAACACGUAUCCAACCUGCCGACAACACUGGGAUAGCCUUUCGAAAGAAAGAUUAAUACCGGAUGGCAUAGUUUUCCCGCAUGGGAUAAUUAUUAAAGAAUUUCGGUUGUCGAUGGGGAUGCGUUCCAUUAGGCAGUUGGCGGGGUAACGGCCCACCAAACCAACGAUGGAUAGGGGUUCUGAGAGGAAGGUCCCCCACAUUGGAACUGAGACACGGUCCAAACUCCUACGGGAGGCAGCAGUGAGGAAUAUUGGUCAAUGGACGAGAGUCUGAACCAGCCAAGUAGCGUGAAGGAUGACUGCCCUAUGGGUUGUAAACUUCUUUUAUACGGGAAUAAAGUUAGCCACGUGUGGCUUUUUGUAUGUACCGUAUGAAUAAGGAUCGGCUAACUCCGUGCCAGCAGCCGCGGUAAUACGGAGGAUCCGAGCGUUAUCCGGAUUUAUUGGGUUUAAAGGGAGCGUAGGCGGGUUGUUAAGUCAGUUGUGAAAGUUUGCGGCUCAACCGUAAAAUUGCAGUUGAUACUGGCGACCUUGAGUGCAACAGAGGUAGGCGGAAUUCGUGGUGUAGCGGUGAAAUGCUUAGAUAUCACGAAGAACUCCGAUUGCGAAGGCAGCUUACUGGAUUGUAACUGACGCUGAUGCUCGAAAGUGUGGGUAUCAAACAGGAUUAGAUACCCUGGUAGUCCACACAGUAAACGAUGAAUACUCGCUGUUGGCGAUAUACAGUCAGCGGCCAAGCGAAAGCAUUAAGUAUUCCACCUGGGGAGUACGCCGGCAACGGUGAAACUCAAAGGAAUUGACGGGGCCCGCACAAGCGGAGGAACAUGUGGUUUAAUUCGAUGAUACGCGAGGAACCUUACCCGGGCUUAAAUUGCAACUGACUGAACCGGAAACGGUUCUUUCUUCGGACAGUUGUGAAGGUGCUGCAUGGUUGUCGUCAGCUCGUGCCGUGAGGUGUCGGCUUAAGUGCCAUAACGAGCGCAACCCUUAUCGAUAGUUACUAGCAGGUCAUGCUGAGGACUCUAUUGAGACUGCCGUCGUAAGAUGUGAGGAAGGUGGGGAUGACGUCAAAUCAGCACGGCCCUUACGUCCGGGGCUACACACGUGUUACAAUGGGGGGUACAGAAGGCAGCUACACGGCGACGUGGUGCUAAUCCCGAAAGCCUCUCUCAGUUCGGAUUGGAGUCUGCAACCCGACUCCAUGAAGCUGGAUUCGCUAGUAAUCGCGCAUCAGCCACGGCGCGGUGAAUACGUUCCCGGGCCUUGUACACACCGCCCGUCAAGCCAUGAAAGCCGGGGGUACCUGAAGUACGUAACCGCGAGGAGCGUCCUAGGGUAAAACUGGUGAUUGGGGCU